rnacentral:rRNA from 1 species
GAGUUUGAUCGUGGCUCAGAUUGAACGCUGGCGGCAUGCCUUACACAUGCAAGUCGAACGGCAGCACGGGAGCUUGCUCCUGGUGGCGAGUGGCGAACGGGUGAGUAAUGCAUCGGAACGUAUCCUGGAGUGGGGGAUAACGUAGCGAAAGUUACGCUAAUACCGCAUAUUCUGUGAGCAGGAAAGCGGGGGGACCUUCGGGCCUCGCGCUCUUGGAGCGGCCGGAUGUCGGAUUAGCUAGUUGGUGAGGUAAAGGCUCACCAAGGCGACGAUCCGUAGCAGGUCUGAGAGGAUGAUCUGCCACACUGGAACUGAGACACGGUCCAGACUCCUACGGAGGCGAGCAGUGGGAA